rnacentral:rRNA from 1 species
AGUACGUGAAACUGCUUAGAGGUUAAACCCGAUGAACCUGAAUAUCCGUUAUGGAAAAUUCAUCAUUAAUAUUAUUAUAUAUAAAAAUAUAAUAAAAAUAGUGUGCAAUUUUUCCAUAUAAGGACAUUGUAAUUUGUUAAUGUGUUAAAUAUUUAUCAAAAAAUUUAAAACAUAAGUUUAUUCAAAUUAGUUAUUUUCGAAUUUCUAACAUAGAAUAAAUGUAUUAAAUUCGAUAAAUCAUUGACAGAUUUUAUUAUAUAUAAUGCUUAAAUUCUUUUUGAAUUUUAUAAUUAUUUUUAUUAAUUAAUAAUAAUUAUAUGCAUUUAUAUGAUUAACAAUGCGAUAGAUUCAGGAUACCUUCGGGACCCGUCUUGAAACACGGACCAAGGAGUCUAACAUAUGUGCAAGUCAUUGGGUAUUUUUAAUAAAACCCAAUGGCAUAAUUAACUUAACUGUUAUUUAAUGGGAUUAGUUUGUAUAUUAUUAUGAUAUAUAAAUUCAAUCCCGGGGCGUUCUAUAUAGUUAUGCAUAAUAAUAUUUAUAUUAUUUAUGCCUCUAACUAGAGC